rnacentral:rRNA from 1 species
GAUGAACGCUGGCGGCGUGCCUAAUACAUGCAAGUCGAGCGAACAGACGAGGAGCUUGCUCCUCUGACGUUAGCGGCGGACGGGUGAGUAACACGUGGAUAACCUACCUAUAAGACUGGGAUAACUUCGGGAAACCGGAGCUAAUACCGGAUAAUAUAUUGAACCGCAUGGUUCAAUAGUGAAAGACGGUUUUGCUGUCACUUAUAGAUGGAUCCGCGCCGCAUUAGCUAGUUGGUAAGGUAACGGCUUACCAAGGCAACGAUGCGUAGCCGACCUGAGAGGGUGAUCGGCCACACUGGAACGGGGACACGGUCCAGAGUCCUACGGGAGGCAGCAGUAGGGAAUCUUCCGCAAUGGGCGAAAGCCUGACGGAGCAACGCCGCGUGAGUGAUGAAGGUCUUCGGAUCGUAAAACUCUGUUAUGAGGGAAGAACAAAUGUGUAAGUAACUAUGCACGUCUUGACGGUACCUAAUCAGAAAGCCACGGCUAACUACGUG